rnacentral:rRNA from 1 species
GACGAACGCUGGCGGCGUGCUUAACACAUGCAAGUCGAACGGAAAGGCCCUGCUUUUGUGGGGUGCUCGAGUGGCGAACGGGUGAGUAACACGUGAGUAACCUGCCCUUGACUUUGGGAUAACUUCAGGAAACUGGGGUUAAUACCGGAUAGGAGCUCCUGCUCCAUGGUGGGGGUGGGAAAGUUUCGGCGGUUGGGGAUGGACUCGCGGCUUAUCAGCUUGUUGGUGGGGUAGUGGCUGACCAAGGCUUGGACGGGUAGCCGGCCUGAGAGGGUGACCGGCCACAUUGGGACUGAGAUACGGACCAGACGCCUACGGGAGGCAGCAGUCGAGAAUAUUGCACAAUGGGCGGAAGCCUGAUGCAGCAGCGCCGCGUGCGUGAUGACGGCCUUCGGGUUGUAAACCGCUGUCGCCUGUGACGAAGCGUGAGUGACGGUAAUGGGUAAAGAAGCACCGGCUAACUACGUG